rnacentral:miRNA from 1 species
UCGGGCCUGGGGUUGGGGGAGC